CAAGUACUCCCUCCGUCCGAAAAUACUUGUCAUCAAAAUGGAAAAAAAAAGAUGUAUCUAGAACUAAUAUACAUCUAGAUACAUCCCGGUUUAUUCAUUUUGAUGACAAGUAUUUCCGGACGGAGGGAGUACUAC
rfam:Triticum aestivum genome assembly, contig: Triticum_aestivum_CS42_TGACv1_scaffold_652924_T_1BL-0.047555_4AL-0.030681